rfam:Equus caballus chromosome 3, whole genome shotgun sequence.
UUUUUAGUGUAAGUAUGUCCCAUGCAAUAUUUAGGACAUGCUUAUACUAAAA